rnacentral:rRNA from 1 species
CAAUAGCGUAUAUUAAAGUUGUUGCGGUUAAAAAGCUCGUAGUUGGAUUUCGGUUGAGAACGGCCGGUCCGCCGUUUGGUGUGCACUGGCUGGUCUCAACUUCCUGUAGAGGACGCGCUCUGGGUUAACGCUCGGACGCGGAGUCUACGUGGUUACUUUGAAAAAAUUAGAGUGUUCAAAGCAGGCUUAUGCCUUGGAUAUGUUAGCAUGGAAUAAUAAGAUAAGACUUUGGCGGUCUAUUUUGUUGGUUUGCACGCCAUUGUAAUGAUUGAUAGGGACAGUUGGGGGUAUUCAUAUUUAAUUGUCAGAGGUGAAAUUCUUGGAUUUAUGAAAGAUGAACUACUGCGAAAGCAUUUACCAAGGAUGUUUUCAUUAAUCAAGAACGAAAGUUAGGGGAUCGAAGAUGAUCAGAU